rnacentral:rRNA from 1 species
UACGGAGGAUCCAAGCGUUAUCCGGAUUCAUUGGGUUUAAAGGGUGCGUAGGCGGCUUAUUAAGUCAGCGGUGAAAGCCUGGAGCUUAACUCCAGAACUGCCAUUGAUACUGAUGAGCUUGAGUACACUUGAAGUGGGCGGAAUGUGUCGUGUAGCGGUGAAAUGCUUAGAUAUGACACAGAACACCAAUUGCGAAGGCAGCUCGCUAAACUGUAACUGACGCUGAGGCACGAAAGCGUGGGGAUCAAACAGG